GUUCCAUUGCCUGUAAACAAAAUAAGGGCAGUCGGACCUCUUGCAGUUUUAUACUCUUUGGUAUAGUGGUGGUGUAUGCUGAGCCUAAACGUCUAUCUAAUAAUAACUAAUUAAAGACUUUUUUAUAACAUGCUUCAAAAAUUGUCAAGCCAAAUCCUGUUCAUCAUUUCUCAUAACAUCUCGGCAGUGAAUAGGAGGAGUUCGUUCCUACACUCGUUUAAGCCCAGGCCUGGUCGACUACGAGAUAGGCCUAUAUCAUUAUGUGCCACCACAGCAGGCCUACACAAUAGGUCAAUACAUAUAGACGUGUCUCCGUCUCCCUGCCUUGCUGAUCACUGUCCAAGGAUCUGUGUGACAUCUGCCAAACAAAACACUGACUAUACCAUAAAAGGAAGCAUUAAGAAUGGCCAAAAUCUAUUGGUUUCUUAUGCCCACUUUAAAUCAUCAUCAACAGGUGAAAUUGAUCCUAGCCAGCAACCAUCACUCGGCGGUACAUACACUGGUGUUGAUGGAGCAGGACUUCUGUGGAGCCUACAAUUUCCAGAAAAACCAGACCAUACAGUACUCUCUAUCAAAGGCCUGGAUGUUCUUAAACCUCUGCAAAUGCAAUUUAGUGUUCAUCAAGGUGCAUUGACUGCUCAAGAGCUGGAGAGCUCAGGUGCCAUUGCAGGAUGCCAGUUGGAGAGGAUGUUUGUGUCAGAGGAUGUAGAGAGCCAAGAGGUUUUAGAAGGAAGCCUACGUGGAAUCAUCUUUAAGCCACUUGGCAAAGGGCCAUUUCCAAGUGUGAUUGACAUGUAUGGCACAGCUGGAGGACUCAAGGCAACAAGGGCUGCCCUCCUGGCUUCAUGCGGCUUUGCUACGUAUGCACUACCUUUUUUUGCUUAUCAAGACCUUGUUAAAAUGGUAUCCGAAGUCAACUUGGAGUAUUUUCAGGAAGCCUGGAGUUGGUUCUCAUCUCAAGAGUUUGUUGACCCAGCUCGUAUUGGUUUCAUGGGCACAUCAAUGGGAGCUAUGAUUAGUAUAGUUACUUCAUCCAUGAUGUCUGAUAAGGUAAGAGCUAUAGUUUGCUAUGCUGCAAAUCAUCAUCAUGUCUUGGCGCCUGUGAAGUUACGUGGAGAACAUUUACCUUUUAUAGAGUAUUCAGGUGAUCUAAUUGAACUUAGGGAAAAUGGUGAAAUUAAUGUUUUAAAAGCCAUCACAGGGAAUUUAAACAACGCAACAGAAAAAACAGCUAUUCAGAUUGAAAAAUCAAAAGCCCAUUUUCUAUUCAUUGCCGGAGAAGACGAUCAGAUUUACAACAGUAAGGACUGCACGUCAAAACUGACUGAAAGGUUAAAUCGCAGUGGUCACCAUAAGCAUACGGUCUUGACAUAUCCUGGUGCUGGACAUCUAAUUGAUCCUGGGUUAUUACCGGUCUCUAUAAAGACUAGGCACCCACUCGCUGGUGAGAUGAGUUUUUGUAUUUGAUUUCAUUACUAUGAAACAAUCUGACUCAGAUUUACACCUGGAUCCCUUCUAUCCCUUGGAUAUGCAGGUGCCUUAAGCUAAGGCCAACUCGGUAUGCCACAGCAGGCCUUACGCGAUUUACCGUCAGGGACAAUCUUAAAGCAUUGUGGGAAUAUUAAAUAUGUUUGAUAUUCUACAACAUUACUAUCCCCGAUGCAGUCUUAUGAUGACAUAUCACGUCUGUCUUGAACUUGUGACAACAAAUCAUGCCUGGUUGCUUUGUACCAAUAUGGCGUGGUGAAUUCCAAUCCAAUUGGAAGCAAUGUCCUUUCACGCAUCAUUGCUGAUCUGCACUAGUUGUUGAAACAUUCACUGAGAUCAGUUUGAUAUAAUUUUUAAACUUCAGUGAGAUGGGGCAGUUGUGGUUUAUACUUAAUCAAUGGAGGAAACUUAGAGGAUCAGGCUAAAGCGCAACAACAUUCAUGGGAGAGUGUUAAAGACUUCUUCAAGGACAAGCUAGCUUAAAUCUUUCACACCACAUCUAGAUCUGAACCAAUCAAGCAUGAAGACAAUAGCAUGUUUAAGAAAAUAAUGAUGAUUAUUUGAAAAAAAGAAAAAAAAAAGAAAAGACAAAUGUAUGGAAAUUACAGAAUAGUAAGGCCUGGACCAACAGAUUUCAGUUUCAUAAUUUAUUUGGAAUCACUUUAGUACCAGUGGCACCAGACAUGGGGUAAUUGUAAUUUGUAAUUGUGAUAAAUUGUGUUCAUUACAUUUUUUAAUUUAAUUGGGUGUAAUUUGUAAUUUGCUUCAAAAUUCUAAUUUACAAUUGUAAUGCUCAGCACUCACCGUAACAAGACAAACCGUCUGCGUAAUUCUUUUCUCCAUGAUAGUAUUCAUUUUUUUAAUUCUUACGUUCAUAGAAAAUGACGAUAUAGUAUUUUCGAAUAUGAUGUUUUAUAUUGAUAAUAACGAUAUGAAAUUUUUAGAUUUUCUUCUGGAUUUUAAUGUUUUUUGUCUGCAUUUGCUAACUGAAGAUGCUUUUCUUUUGUUAUUAAUAAUGAAAGAUAACAAAGUUCAUUCGUAUUUCGUAUGUAAUUGUAAUUUGAAAAAUAUAAUUUGUAACCAUGACAAUUACAUUUGCAUACAUUUCUUUACUCACAGUCGUGUCGUCACAACACCAGGUGGUGCUCUUUGUUGUCAACCAGACGUUGGUUUAACUGUACAUUAUGCCUGGAUGACUUCAUAAUCUUAAUGGUUUAGAAUAGGCUUUCUUGAAUAGGCAUUUUAAAACUUAAUAAUUUACCAUCAAAAUGUACUAAAAACACAAAA